CUGCUGCUCCUGGGCCAUUAGCACCGAGACAGCAGCUGGCCACUGGAGCAGACGUGGCCCACAUUAGGACCCAGGCGCCGUCGAGAGCCUCCUCAACCAGCAGAGAGAGGGGGAGAGAGAGAGGGGGAGAGAGAGAGAGCUGACCUCAUGGCUGUAAAAUCCCCAGUGCAAGUUGAAAACUUAGAUGUCAACAUCUGCUCCUGGCCACACCAUCCCCUGAACCCCACUCUCGCUUGCUAGAAGUCCGCUAGGCCUGUGCCUGCAACAGAAGGCUCUCUUGUCUUCCGCAAAGGAGAUGUUCAGGAGUUGAGCAACGCGCGCUGGCUCCUCGUUUCUUACCAAACACCAGCCGUCCAUCGCCCACAGAGACGCCCAGACGCUGGGCUACAGUACGGGCGACCUGCUGCUCCACAAACAAACACCCAGGAGAGGAGGGAGAUCUCAUGUUUUCACACCCAACUCGAUUAGUGGAGAAUGUUUGUUCUGCGACGUCCGUAAACAUUACAUUCAGCGUUCGAAUAUUCACAAAAAUAAUACUAAGUAAGGAUGCCAGUGUGAUAAGACUGUAUAUCAUUUCAAUAAGGGUGGGAACUGUUGAUAUUGAAUCUGUUCUUAGAGGAGAUUGUUAGAUUUGGAGCUGUUGCCUUCCUGUGGUGACUCAGGGGUACUGCAUUCCAUAGUGAUACAUUCUGGAAUAUUCUCAACCUGUUGCAACUCAUAGCAUUCAGGAACCUGGGGAAGGUGAAACUAAACUAUUCUAGUUCUAGAGUACUCUACUAGCAUUGUUUGGGCUUCCCAAAACAAGGAUAAGGGCUUGGGAAACAUCAGAAGAACAGGAUACAUCUGCCACACCCCCCCCCCCCCCAAUCUUACCCGGGGCGGGUCCACGUAAAGACACACUCGGUGACAAGUUCUACUGAGAAUGUGUAUCACACCAUGCUAUUAGUCUAAGUGACAGGCACGCAUAACUAUCGGUGGAAUGUGGAUCACACCAUGCUAUUACACUAAGUGACAGGCAACUAUCUGUGACACUCUGUGACAAGUCCUAAUGGGAAUGUGUAUGAUCACACCAUGCUAUUACACUAAGUGAAAGGCACGCAUAACUAUCAGACUAUAUGUAUGUCAUGUGUAUAUACUGCAUUAUAAUUUCUACGUGUUGGUAGGCAGCUGCAUUUCUGUUUUAAGCAUAGGAGGAUAAAACCACUUCAAAAUAUAACACAAUGGAACUUCAUCACCCACAACUUCCUGUCGCACCUGUGGGCUGUACAGGAAGAAAGUGGCUGUACUGUGGAGUCCCAGACUGUGAACGUUGUACUGCAAGUCACUCUGGAUAAGGAUGUUUACUAAACAACUACAUGUAAACAAUAUAAAAAAACCUCAAUAAAUGUUUUUUUGGUU